ensembl:lncRNA
CAGCCGCCAAAGCAGUUGCCAGCAGCUUCAUGUGGAGCCUGCUCCCUCUCUGAGGAGUGUGUCUCUUUAAAUAUCUCACAUAAAAACCAAGGUCUGUAGAACCUGAAAAACUACAGCAAAAAGCAAUGUGACGAUAAGGCGAAUAUUUGUCUGGCUAUGUGCAAAGCCCCGAAUCAAGUUUUUCUUCUUUCCUUUCCAGGGACUCUAAUUCAGAAAGGUGUUGGUGAGACCCAAAUCGUACGGUGGAUCGUAGCGUGUUUUUACCAUCCCUCACUGGAGCGGAGCAAUCGCAACGGGACGCACUGCUGAUCGAUACGUUCAGAGGAUCUGGUGACCCUCGCUGUGGCCAUGCCCAAGCCACCCGCUUUGCAGACAGAGGUGAUCUUGGCCUUCAGGAAGCUCUAUCAGCAGGACUAAGAUGGAAUAGGAGUUGGAAAGCCUAUAGUCAUCAUGGGAAUGGAGACACUGCUUUGUUGGAAAAAAGACCACGUUACAUAGUUUAUCUGGACAAUCACAGCCACUUGCAGCAGCAUUGCCUGUGCUGCAUUUGCUCUUCAGUGAACUGGAGCUGCUUGUCAUCCAGGAGGUCAUCCUGUAGCUCACAGAACUCAAGAACCCAGUGAGGAGACAGCAACUGACUUGAGAAGAGCUACAUUGGAUAUUAAAUGUUCCUAAAAUCACAGAAUGGCUGAAGUUGGAAGGUGAUCUCUUGAGAUUAUCUGGUCCAACUUGCACUUAAGGGAUACCCAGAACAGUGGGCCCAGGAACUUGUCCACAUGGCCUUUGAAUAUCACCUUUUUGGCCAUGUGGAUGCACUGAUGUCUCACGUUCAACUCGAUGGUCACCAGGAUCCAUGGGAGCAUCCUACCAGGAUUCAUAGACUUGUCAUCCUGUGCUAACAGCAAUGCUUCCUUGUAUCUGAAGGUGAGCAGUGUUGAAAUGUACUCUGUGGAAGACAAA